GGGCCAAUAGCUCAGAGGUAGAGCGCUCGCUUCGCAUGCGAGAGGUCGUGGGUUCAAUUCCCACUUGGUCCA
rnacentral:tRNA from 1 species